GAAAGAGAAGUCAGAGCGCACGGAGGAUGCCUUGGCUUCGGCAGGCGAAGAAGGACGCGGUAAGCUGCGAAAAUGUCCGGGGAUUUGCAAACGGGAGUUGAUCCGGACGUGUCCGAAUGGGGCAACCCGCACGGCUGAAGGCCGUGCACCGGCGCGAGCCGGGGCGAACCCGGGGAACUGAAACAUCUUAGUACCCGGAGGAGAAGAAAGAAACAGUCGAUUCCCUUAGUAGUGGCGAUCGAAGAGGGAGGAGCCUAAACCGCCGCGUUCGAGGACGCGGCGGGGUUGUAGGACCGGCGAUGUCCGCAUCCGCGCAAACCGGAGCAUGUCUGGAAAGCGUGGGCGCAGAGGGUGACACCCCCGUACGGGUAACGUGCGGAUGCGGAUGCCGGCACCUGAGUAGGGCGGGGCACGUGGAAUCCUGUCCGAAUCAGCGGGGACCAUCCCGCAAGGCUGAAGACUGCCGAAGACCGAUAGUGUACCAGUACCGUGAGGGAAAGGUGGGAAGCACCCCGGGAGGGGAGUGAAAUAGAGCCUGAAACCGUGCGCUUGCAAGCGGUCGGAGCACCAUUAUGGUGUGACGGCGUGCCUUUUGCAUAAUGAGCCUACGAGUUGCCUCACGCCGGCGAGGCUAAGCCAUUCAGUGGCGGAGCCGCAGCGAGAGCGAGUCUGAACAGGGCGUUCAGUCGGCGUGAGCAGACGCGAAACCUAGUGAUCUACCCUUGUCCAGGGUGAAGGGGCCGUAACAGGCUCUGGAGGCCCGAACCAGUUUCCGUUGAAAAGGGCUUGGAUGAGGCGAGGGUAGGAGUGAAAGGCCAAUCAAACUGGGAGAUAGCUCGUACUCCCCGAAAUGUCUUUAGGGACAGCCUCGUCAGUUUCCCGCGUGAGGUAGAGCUACCGAUUGGAAGCGAGGGCUUCGCCGCCUAUCAAUUCCAGACGAACUCCGAAUGCGCGCGGUGAUCUAUGACGGGAGUGAGUCGUCGGGUGCUAAUAUCCGGCGGCGAGAGGGUAAGAGCCCAGACCUCCGGCCAAGGCCCCCAAGAGCGGUCUAAGUUGAGACAGAACGAAGUGGCGCCGCAGAGACAGCCAGGAUGUUAGCUUGGAAGCAGCUAUUCAUUCAAAGAGUGCGUAACAGCUCACUGGUCGAGCGGAGCCGCGUGGAUGAUGAUCGGGCAUCAAGACCGCCGCCGAAGCCGAGGACGGCUGGCGCGAGUCAGUCGUGGUAGGGGAGCAUUCCGGUCGGCGCGGAAGGGAAGUCGCGAGGCUUCCUGGAGCGUCCGGAAAAGAAAAUGUAGGCAUGAGUAACGACAAGGGGCGUAGAAACGCCCCCGCCGAAAACCCAAGGUUUCCGGGGCCACGCUAAACGGCCCCGGGUGAGCCGGGAGCUAACGGUAAGCCGAGAGGCGAUCCGGAUGCACACGCGGUUAAUAUUCCGCGGCCGGCCCGUCGGGCGAUGUCGCGACCGAGAAGUGAAACCUCCGCGCGGAGACGGAAUUCCGCGUUGAAGGCCGUAGGGGUGACCCGAAAGCCGACAGUACGGCGAGCCUCCGGGCGAGCCGACAGCGAGGGUAAUCAUGCUCGCGAGAAAAGCGACUAGCGCUAAGAGACGGGCCGCCCGUACCGUAAACCGACACAGGUGGGUGGGGAGAGUAUCCUGAGGCGCUCGAGUGAAUCACGGCCAAGGAACUAGGCAAAUUGACCCCGUAACUUAGGGAUAAGGGGUCCCGCGGCGACGCGGGCGCAGAGAAAUGGCCCAGGCGACUGUUUACCAAAAACAUAUGGCUAUGCGAAAUCGUUAAGAUGACGAAUAUGGCCUGACACCUGCCCGGUGCCGGAAGGUUAAGAGGGGGGGUCACCGAAAGGGAAGCCCUGAAUUGAAGCCCCGGUAAACGGCGGCCGUAACUAUAACGGUCCUAAGGUAGCGAAAUUCCUUGUCGGGUAAGUUCCGACCUGCACGAAUGG
rnacentral:rRNA from 1 species